rnacentral:lncRNA from 1 species
UCCUGAGUCGGACGGUGCGCUGGCCGAUGCCUUCGUUUGGGCAGCAGCGCCGGGCGAAAAGGAGUGGAUUCACCGUGUGCCAAAUUUCGACCGUACCGCGGGUUGAUAUGAUGUCAGACGUCUCAUGAAUGCCGAGCGAUUCGCUGGCGUCAAGUGUCCAGUCGGUGUCAAAUGUCCCAUCCUGUCGGCGUCAGGUGUUACGUCGGUGUCGGACGUUUCGGUGUCGGGC